rnacentral:tRNA from 1 species
UCCCUGAUGGUCCAGUGGUUAAGAUUCAGAACUUUCAAUGCAGGGGGCCUGGGUUUGAUCCCUGGUCAGGGAA